GUGAACGCUGGCGGUAGGCCUAACCCAUGCCAGUCGAACGGCAGCACAGUAAGAGCUUGCUCUUCCGGGUGGCGAGUGGCGGACGGGUGAGGAAUACAUCGGAAUCUACUUUUUCGUGGGGGAUAACGUAGGGAAACUUACGCUAAUACCGCAUACGACCUACGGGUGAAAGCAGGGGAUCUUCGGACCUUGCGCGAUUGAAUUAGCCGAUGUCGGAUUAGCUAGUUGGCGGGGUAAAGGCCCACCAAGGCGACGAUCCGUAGCUGGUCUGAGAGGAUGAUCAGCCACACUGGAACUGAGACACGGUCCAGACUCCUACGGGAGGCAGCAGUGGGGAAUAUUGGACAAUGGGCGCAAGCCUGAUCCAGCCAUACCGCGUGGGUGAAGAAGGCCUUCGGGUUGUAAAGCCCUUUUGUUGGGAAAGAAAAGCAGCAGGUUAAUACCCCGCUGUUCUGACGGUACCCAAAGAAUAAGCACCGGCUAACUUCGUG
rnacentral:rRNA from 1 species